rnacentral:rRNA from 1 species
AGUGAACGCUGGCGGUAGGCCUAACACAUGCAAGUCGAACGGCAGCACAGUAAGAGCUUGCUCUUACGGGUGGCGAGUGGCGGACGGGUGAGGAAUACAUCGGAAUCUACUUUUUCGUGGGGGAUAACGUAGGGAAACUUACGCUAAUACCGCAUACGACCUACGGGUGAAAGCAGGGGAUCUUCGGACCUUGCGCGAUUGAAUGAGCCGAUGUCGGAUUAGCUAGUUGGCGGGGUAAAGGCCCACCAAGGCGACGAUCCGUAGCUGGUCUGAGAGGAUGAUCAGCCACACUGGAACUGAGACACGGUCCAGACACCUACGGGAGGCAGCAGUGGGGAAUAUUGGGCAAUGGGCGCAAGCCUGAUCCAGCCAUACCGCGUGGGUGAAGAAGGCCUUCGGGUUGUAAAGCCCUUUUGUUGGGAAAGAAAAGCAGCAGGUUAAUACCCCGCUGUUCUGACGGUACCCAAAGAAUAAGCACCGGCUAACUUCGUG